UGAUCCCGCAGAGUAGAUACCAUGAGCAAUGCUCACCCUCCCGAGUUGAAAAAAUUUAUGGACAAGAAGUUAUCAUUGAAAUUAAAUGGUGGCAGAUAUGCCCAAGGAAUAUUGGAGGGAUUUGAUCCAUUUAUGGGUCUUGUGAUAGAUGAAUGUGUGGAGAUGACAACUAGUGGGCAACAGAACAAUAUUGGAAUGGUGUUAAUGCAAGGAAAUAGUAUCGUCAUGUUAGAAGCCUUGGAAUGA